CUGACGCUGAGGCACGAAAGCGUGGGUAUCAAACAGGAUUAGAUACCCUGGUAGUCCACGCAGUAAACGAUGAAUACUAGCUGUUGGCGAUAUAAUGUCAGUGGUAAAGCGAAAGUGUUAAGUAUUCCACCUGGGGAGUACGCCGGCAACGGUGAAACUCAAAGGAAUUGACGGGGGCCCGCACAAGCGGAGGAACAUGUGGUUUAAUUCGAUGAUACGCGAGGAACCUUACCCGGGCUUGAAAGUUAGUGACGGCGGAUGAAAGUCUGCUUCCCUUCGGGGCACGAAACUAGGUGCUGCAUGGUUGUCGUCAGCUCGUGCCGUGAGGUGUCGGCUUAAGUGCCAUAACGAGCGCAACCCUUGUUGUCAGUUACCAGCAAGUAACGUUGGGGACUCUGGCAAGACUGCUACUGUAAGGUAGAGGAAGGUGGGGAUGACGUCAAAUCAGCACGGCCCUUACGUCCGGGGCGACACACGUGUUACAAUGGGCGGUACAGAGGGUUGCUACCUGGCGACAGGAUGCUAAUCUCCAAAAGCCGUUCUCAGUUCGGAUCGGAGUCUGCAACUCGACUCCGUGAAGCUGGAUUCGCUAGUAAUCGC
rnacentral:rRNA from 1 species